AUGAACGCUAGCUACAGGCUUAACACAUGCAAGUCGAGGGGCAGCAUUUUAGUUUGCUUGCAAACUAAAGAUGGCGACCGGCGCACGGGUGAGUAACACGUAUCCAACCUGCCGAUAACUCGGGGAUAGCCUUUCGAAAGAAAGAUUAAUAUCCGAUAGUAUAUUAAAACCGCAUGGUUUUACUAUUAAAGAAUUUCGGUUAUCGAUGGGGAUGCGUUCCAUUAGUUUGUUGGCGGGGUAACGGCCCACCAAGACUACGAUGGAUAGGGGUUCUGAGAGGAAGGUCCCCCACAUUGGAACUGAGACACGGUCCAAACUCCUACGGGAGGCAGCAGUGAGGAAUAUUGGUCAAUGGACGAGAGUCUGAACCAGCCAAGUAGCGUGAAGGAUGACUGCCCUAUGGGUUGUAAACUUCUUUUAUAUGGGAAUAAAGUAUUCCACGUGUGGAAUUUUGUAUGUACCAUAUGAAUAAGGAUCGGCUAACUCCGUGCCAGCAGCCGCGGUAAUACGGAGGAUCCGAGCGUUAUCCGGAUUUAUUGGGUUUAAAGGGAGCGUAGGUGGAUUGUUAAGUCAGUUGUGAAAGUUUGCGGCUCAACCGUAAAAUUGCAGUUGAAACUGGCAGUCUUGAGUACAGUAGAGGUGGGCGGAAUUCGUGGUGUAGCGGUGAAAUGCUUAGAUAUCACGAAGAACUCCGAUUGCGAAGGCAGCUCACUAGACUGCAACUGACACUGAUGCUCGAAAGUGUGGGUAUCAAACAGGAUUAGAUACCCUGGUAGUCCACACAGUAAACGAUGAAUACUCGCUGUUUGCGAUAUACAGUAAGCGGCCAAGCGAAAGCAUUAAGUAUUCCACCUGGGGAGUACGCCGGCAACGGUGAAACUCAAAGGAAUUGACGGGGGCCCGCACAAGCGGAGGAACAUGUGGUUUAAUUCGAUGAUACGCGAGGAACCUUACCCGGGCUUGAAAGUUAGUGACGAUUCUGGAAACAGGAUUUCCCUUCGGGGCACGAAACUAGGUGCUGCAUGGUUGUCGUCAGCUCGUGCCGUGAGGUGUCGGCUUAAGUGCCAUAACGAGCGCAACCCUUAUCUUUAGUUACUAACAGGUGAUGCUGAGGACUCUAGAGAGACUGCCGUCAUAAGAUGUGAGGAAGGUGGGGAUGACGUCAAAUCAGCACGGCCCUUACGUCCGGGGCUACACACGUGUUACAAUGGGGGGUACAGAAGGCAGCUACCUGGCGACAGGAUGCUAAUCCCAAAAACCUCUCUCAGUUCGGAUCGAAGUCUGCAACCCGACUUCGUGAAGCUGGAUUCGCUAGUAAUCGCGCAUCAGCCAUGGCGCGGUGAAUACGUUCCCGGGCCUUGUACACACCGCCCGUCAAGCCAUGAAAGCCGGGGGUACCUGAAGUACGUAACCGCAAGGAGCGUCCUAGGGUAAAACUGGUAAUUGGGGCU
rnacentral:rRNA from 1 species